rnacentral:misc_RNA from 1 species
GAUGAAGAACGUAGCGAAAUGCGAUAAGUAGUGUGAAUUGCAGAAUUCAGUGAAUCAUCGAAUCUUUAAACGCACAUUGCGCCCCUUGGUAUUCCAUGGGGCAUGCCUGUUCGAGCGUCAUCUACACCCUCAAGCUCUGCUUGGUGUUGGGCGUCUGUCCCGCCUUUGCGCGUGGACUCGCCCCAAAUUCAUUGGCAGCGGUCCUUGCCUCCUCUCGCGCAGCACAUUUGCGCUUCUCGAGGUGCGCGGGCCGCGUCCACGAAGCAACUAUUACCGUCUUUGACCUCGGAUCAGGUAGGGAUACCCGCUGAACUUAAGCAUAUCAAUAAGCGGAGGA